CGAUGACACGUGUCCAAAAAAGUUAAACUCUUCGUUUCAUUUAUUCCCAAACGUGAAGGGCUUUGGUCGUUUAAUGUGUUUGGGCUGGAUAGACUUUAGCAUUGGCCCUUCUCUUGAUCGAAAGUCCUCCUCUAUGUAACUCCGCUGACCUGAUCGCAGCUUCUCACCGUAGAAGAAACAGAGCCUGUUCAACUUACCCUCAUGAUAACUGGAGACGUUACAGAAUGAGGCUCAAUCGAAGGGUCGGCUUUAACGCAAUCAUUAACAGUAGCUUGGAAAACCUCUCAUGAGUUGUCGUUUGCAUUACUUCCUUUCGGUGAAUCUUCGACUAUAAAACGCCCGCCACUCAUGCCAUCGUCCGAGGUUCACCGUCUGGAAACCUUCAAACAUCUCUGAUGAAGUGUUCUUGAAAGAUUCGACAAUAAUCUUGACAACCUGGACAUCAUUGACCUGCUACAAUCCUUGGAUCCCUAGCUGAAGUUGUCUCCAAUGGAGUUGGGAGAUGAGACGGUUGUGAUGUUGAGACUGAGAAUAGCUGUAAAUGAAUUAGGAUUCAACCAAAUAUGAGAGCAGUUCUUAGAUUCAAGUCAAGUCUGAAGCUGAAACUUCUGUUAACCCAAAUCUUAAUGACAGAUCCGAUGAUGAAUAUGUGUCCAUGUAUGAAGCUGAUAGAGGUCUAAUUGUAGGUUUUCCAUUUUAUGAAGGCGACUCAAUUCAUGGACAAGAGGAAGUAUACAAAUAGACUCACACCAGAAAGAGCGAAGUGAAGCGAUCAAGAAUUUCAGGUGACCAUGGUUGGAAAAAAUAGUUAAUUAUCGUUUUCUCCAUGCUCUUUUUUCAUGGAAGAAAAGAACUUGGAGAAGGUCAAAUUUGUGUCCUCUUCCACAACAAUCACUUCUACACCAUGAUGAACGAUUUUACUGAAUCACUUUGGUGUACCCCGAAAGUGAGGUAAUAACUGGACUUUUUCAAUGAGUGUUAUUAUCAUUAAGCCUUACGCACAGCUCAGACUCAUCGAAUAUUCUUCUCUGUCUUAUAAGUACUACACUUUGCUUUUGCUAUUUGGUGUCUCAAGGAAAGAAAUCUGCUCUAAGGUAUAUAUUUAAAUAUAUGGUUUCCGUUGCCAUUUAAAAUAGAAUUCAUAUUCUCAGUUUCUCUCACAAAUGAGUCAUUUGUGUUUGGUUCAACUUCAUUUGCUUAAACCACCGUUGAGUCAUGUGAACAUGAAUAUGCAUAAAGGAACAUGGGUAUGUAAUCUUUCCCAAUAUUGUUAUUUUAUUUGAGUGUCCUCCAUCAUUUUUCAAUGGCAAUGACAAUAUUAACGGGUUGGUGAAACUCUGUGUGUGAUAUAGCAAGACUUUCAGAUUUGCACCAAAAGUCUAUAUUUCUGAAGUAAACUGACAUGAAAGAAAACCGAGUAAUGAACCAAUAUUUGGAAAAGGUUCAUCGCAAUUGGAACUCUAAAAUGUCUGAGAGACCCUAUAUAGUUCCAUCGUCAGGCUUCCCUUUUUCUUCAAGAAUUCAAAAAGUUUCCAUAUGGCGGAAGGGGUGUAACACUUAUGAAGUUAUUUGAGUACCCGAACUUAUAAUCAUGUGGUCAGUCGUCACCGUUUCAAGUUUCAACAGCGCGGUAAACCUACUUUGUGUCAGCUUACGUUCCAUUACAUGCCAGUUAAGUUCAAGCGAGUUACUCGUCAUUGACUGGGGAAAGCUGUAUCUUUCUUUGAGCAAGAGUGAGCUUGCGUUCCAUUCGUCUCUCAUGUUAUUUAUGGAGAUUCUGAAAUGGAGUGAGGAGAGAACAAACAUUUGCGUGAGUUAUACUCUGUGUACAGCACUGAUUCAAGUUCAUCUCAAAUCAAUUUAUUAACAUUAAAAAGAAGUCUAAUGUACAUAGUGACCACUAUCUGGAGUAGAGAUUCCUACACAUUGGUUUUAAUUGAUUGAGAUUCAGUUCAGAGCA